AUGUCAAGGUUAGGACACUUCAUCAAAUAGUCAUUGAAUCUUUCUCAUGCUUCUGAGCAACUCUCGAGAUCUUUCUGCUUGAGAGUGUAUACUUCAUUCCUAAUCU
rnacentral:snoRNA from 1 species